AUUGAACGCUGGCGGCAGGCCUAACACCUGCAAGUCGAACGAGUGGCGGACGGGUGAGUAAUAUCUGGGAAACUGUCUGAUGGAGGGGGAUAACAACUGGAAACGGUAGCUAAUACCGCAUACCAUUGGAUGUGCCCAGAUGGGAGUAGCUAGUCGGUGGGUUACCGGCUCACCUAGGCGACGAUCCCUAGCUGGUCUGAGAGGAUGACCAGCCACACUGGAACUGAGACACGGUCCAGACUCCUACGGUGGGCAGCAGUGGGGAAUAUUGCACAAUGGGCGCAAGCCUGAUGCAGCCAUGCCGCGUGUAUGAAGAAGGCCUUCGGGUUGUAAAGUACUUUCAGCGAGGAGGCGUUACUCGCAGAAGAAGCACCGGCGAACUCCGUGCCAGCAGCCGCGGUAAUAC
rnacentral:rRNA from 1 species